AUUGAACGCUGGCGGCAGGCCUAACACAUGCAAGUCGAACGAGUGGCGGACGGGUGAGUAAUGUCUGGGAAACUGCCUGAUGGAGGGGGAUAACUACUGGAAACGGUAGCUAAUACCGCAUACCAUCGGAUGUGCCCAGAUGGGAUUAGCGAGUAGGUGGGGGAAAGGCUCACCUAGGCGACGAUCCCUAGCUGGUCUGAGAGGAUGACCAGCAACACGGGAACUGAGGCACGGGCCAGACUGCUCCGGGUGGCGGCAGUGGCUGAUAUUGCAGAAUGGGCGCAAGCCUGAUGCUGCCAUGCCGCGUGUAUGAAGAAGGCCUUCGGGUUUUAAAGUAGUUUCAGCGGGGCGGCGUUGCCCGCAGAAGAAGCACCGGCUAACCCCGAGCCAGCAGCCGCGGUAAUAC
rnacentral:rRNA from 1 species